UAUAGAAGGAUUGCCUAUUUCUA
rnacentral:siRNA from 1 species